UGCUCCCCAAACCCCGAGCUCGACCGCCCAUUCAAACGAUGAAGACGUUUAUUGAUGAAAACCGCCAGUCCUACGGGGUCGAGCCGAUUUGCAAGGUGUUGCCAAUCGCCCCG
rfam:Pseudomonas syringae pv. spinaceae strain ICMP16929 PspICMP16929_Contig_1065, whole genome shotgun sequence.